ACUCUACCUCAUUUCCCACCUCUUCUUUUUCCUUUCUCACUCACUUCUGCUCUGCUGUACCUUUUGUUUCUUGAUUUUGGUUCUGUAUAUAUAUUUGUAAGAACAUACUCUGCCUCAGGCUUCUUCUUACAUGCUUGCAGUUUCUCCUCUGAGAUGUACUGAAUGUCUAGUUUAGCCAGUUUGCCUGAAUCAAUAAUGCUGAAGCAAUCGCCCAGUAGGAAUCAAAGGUCGAAAGAGUUCAAGGUAAAACACGCUCUUCAGAUAUGUUUAUUGCUCGCCAUUUGCAUAUGGUUGCUGUACCAAGUAAGGCAAACAUGUCAGAGAAAGUUAGCGUCAGAGGAGAGCUUCGGGACUGCCAAGUUAAGUACUGACUUCGGAAUGUUAAAACUGGGGAGGAAGGGCUUAGAUCCUCAACUGCAGGAGAUCGUUACAGAUAUUAAAGGAACUGCCACUGAAGAUGCUGAGGUAGAAGGUAAGCUCAGGGAGAGCAAGGGAGAUAAUAUAGGAGUCGUAAAUGAUGAGAUAGAUGGACAAGAUCAGGAGAAGGACGAUGAGGAAGAGUCUGAGCAAUUAGAGGAUUUGAUUGAUGAAGAUGAUACCGAAGGGAAAGGGAGUGUAGAAAUUGACAGUGAUGGUGAAGACGUAGAUUUAAUCAGAUAAUCAGCACCAAUGCGCCACAAUAGAGUUCAAAUGAACUCCGAGAAGGCAGCAAAAGAAGAGACAUUAUAUAGGCAAAUAUGAUGCCAUUAACAAUACCAACAACACUACUUAUAGUAUAUGACUCCUGGUAUUCUUUGAGCAAUUAUCUGAUGUUAAAGAUGGUAGCGGGAUCUAAAAAGACUGCGUACAUCAGGACUUUCCUCCGCCCUGCUACGCAGGAGUCAGGUACAUUGAACUAUGAAGAUACAUAUACAAGAAUGCAUAAUGAAAGACCAACUGAACAUAGAAACUAUAGCGUUGUUCAGCAAUAAACUAAGAAUGUAGAAUAGUUUUGGGAAAUGAAAAUACAGAGCCUUGUGUUUUCUUGUU